AGGUAGUCUUAAAUGUAAGAAUCAACUAUGAAUACCGACCUGUUUUGCAUCGUGAAGUUGGUACUGAAUCUUUUUUCGUUCAAGACAGUACUCAGUUUAGAAAUACUAUAAGCAAAAUCCAUAGUUGCUCAAGAUUCGAGAUGAUCUUAAGAGGGUAUUCUAGUCUAGCAGGUAAAAAAAAUCGAUUUUUUAAAAAUAUAUUUUACAAGUAUUUGGUAUAAAAAAUAUGUCUGUAAGGAAUUAGCUCAAUUCGCAAAAUUGAUAAAGUUAUUGCACCUGGUAGGGAGCGAUCUUCGACUCGUUUUCACAAAAAAACUGCGAAAUUCGAAAAAAUCAACUUUCCUAUUUCAAAAGAAUAUGAUGAUAAGAAGAACAAGAAUGAAGAAGCUGAAAAUGUUGCAAUACAUUUUAACAGUUCCUAGCGACAGAACAUGAAAAAAAAAGAGGAUUCGAACUGAUUGAUCAUGAGCAAAAGAGCUGGGAGCCAUAGACCUAAUUUUAUUUUUCACUACGUUACUUAAUAUUUUAUACAACGCAUUUUAACAAUUAUUUUUUAACAAAAAACUUCUGUUUUUCAAAUAUGUGCAAAUAUGUAGAGAAAAAUCCUGUCCUAAAAAAACUUUAUCUUAUAUUUUUAAAAAAUUCGCAAAAAUAGCAUAAAAAUUCGACUUCUAGAAUACUCCCUUAAGCUAUUGCAUGAACCAAUCAGAGAGCCAUAUUAGUAUCUUAAGAUAUUGCUUGAAAUUAAGAAACUAUGGAUUCCGGCCUAUGUUGUCUAUGGUUAUAAGUGGCGUG